rnacentral:misc_RNA from 1 species
CUGACUCGUUGAGAGCGGAGUCAGCUGGGAGGUGGGUGAUAGUGCAAGACCCUUUGUGUAGUAGUCUUGAGCCAGUAGCUGCAGCAGGUAAUAGACCAGUAGGACCACAUGCACNCAAGAAGACACUCACUACUCCCAAACAGUCUCCGGCAUCCUCCAGAACCAGCGCAUCCGUUGGGCCGAGUCAUCCUCCCUCCCUUACCUCUCAUACUCCAACCAAUCAGCCUUCACUAAGUGCACAAACCGCUGNNNNGUUCUCCACUUGCCCAUCGAAGGCCCUUCCCAGUGGUUUCUCAAGUACAUUCUCUUCAGCGUACCC